rnacentral:lncRNA from 1 species
GCACAACAAACAUAAGAGUUCUUGACAUAAUAUGUAGAUAAAAAGUUCAUAACAAUUGAUAAAACAAAAAGAAUUGAAAGUUAAAAUCUAGAUUCAUAACAUCACAAAACAUGGUUGCAACAAGAGCUAGCCAUCAUGAUUUAAGCUAAGGUGUCAGGUAAACACAUAUUGAAUACACACGCAGGUGUGAUGCGGAGGGGAAAAAAAGCUACAAAUAUGGAUGAAAGAAACAUAUAGAGUAAUUGAUAAUUUGUCACCGACUUGGAUAGAUAUAACAGAGUGUGUGCAAGAUAAGUAAUUUCUAAUACAUUGUUUCUCCUAAUAAGAUUGUAGAAAACUGGGUAUAAGUGUGAUCUGUCGUAUGUAGCCGUAUAUCCUUGAUUAUGCGUCUGUUUGGUUUGCACUCAGGCAAACUUGACUGGACAAGUUCGUUCAGAAAAAACUUGACUGGACAAGCAGCUCUCCCAGGCGCUAGAUUCUCGCCUGGGACUGAGAUGCAUGCCUGAAGUUGAGGUUGCAUUGCCUGGAGGGCACCAAUACCAAACAGACCAAUAUAUGUGCAUAAUCCAUGAGUGUUUUCCUUUAACCCCCCCCCCCCCCCCCCCAGCUUCAUAAAGAAAAAUGUGCCUAAUAUAAUAUUGUGCUGUUUCAGUAGAAUAAAUUAAUAUGUGAAAAAAAUAUUUAUUCAAGACAGUAUAGCUGCUAAAGUAUUUGCGCAAAUGAUAAGAAACAAUUUUUCCCCUAUAUAUAUAUAAUAUUGCUUGGAUGCGCUUCCACCACUCCACAAGGCAAGGUUUCACUUUAGGAUCAAUGCAAAGACCUACAAUAAGGUAGAAGUCAUGAGCUAAUAACAUGUAGAUCGACUGAUAUAAUUGCAUGCAUAUAUGUGAAUUAAUAUGUGGCUUCGAUCGGAGAUUGCAUGCGUGCCCUAGCUAGGUAACCUAAUAAGUCUCAUCAGCAUUUAAGCUUGGAGUAUUAACCUGCUUGUGAGCUUCGGCGCCGGUGGGUUACCGACGAUGAUCAGCUGGGAAGAAAGGAAGGGCGAAGAGGAGAAGCAGCAUGAGCAUCGGGAUCCAGACGAAGAGCGCCGGCGGAGAAGGCGGCAGCGCUGGCAGAACGAGAGGGUACCAGAGGAGGACGACGACCAGCGCAAGCAGCAGCAGCACCGCCGCCGUGUCCAUCUCAGGGCUGAUCGAUGAGUGGCUGUGUCGCCCCGGUCACUCUCAGCAGGGAACUACGAAUAUACACUAUAGAGUCCAGUCCAGCAUCAUGUGGAAAAAGCCAAGAUUUUCUUGCGAGGACUGGCACAUAUAUGCUAGUAGUACAGCUAGUCG